CUCCCCCUUCACACGCGGUCACGUUCAGUGUUCACUGUCACGUCACUGAGGCUAAAGAGACAACGCUUUAUAUAUACAGACAGUCUAUGCUAACAACCGACAACAGUUUGCUCCAAAAGAUGGCAGAAAUAGCCGGAUCGUCAUCCAGAGAGGAAAUCCUGAAGGAAAGUGGGCCUCCCGCCAUACUUGGACAAGGUCCCAAUGUGUAGAUAAUAUGGAGCAGCUACGUUAGACGUGGGGAAGAAAGAGCCAGACACA